rnacentral:rRNA from 1 species
AGCGAACGCUGGCGGCAGGCCUAACACAUGCAAGUCGAACGAAGCCUUCGGGCUUAGUGGCGGACGGGUGAGUAACACGUGGGAACGUACCUUUUGGUUCGGAAUAACGCAGAGAAAUUUGCGCUAAUACCGGAUGAGCCCUUCGGGGGCAAGAUUUAUCGCCGAAAGAUCGGCCCGCGUUGGAUUAGGUAGUUGGUGUGGUAAAGGCGCACCAAGCCUACGAUCCAUAGCUGGUCUGAGAGGAUGAUCAGCCACACUGGGACUGAGACACGGCCCAGACUCCUACGGGAGGCAGCAGUGGGGAAUCUUGCGCAAUGGGCGAAAGCCUGACGCAGCCAUGCCGCGUGAAUGAUGAAGGUCUUAGGAUUGUAAAAUUCUUUUACCAGGGAUGAUAAUGACGGUACCUGGAGAAAAAGCCCCGGCUAACUUCGUGCCAGCAGCCGCGGUAAAAC